AAAUUAUUUUGAAUUGGUAAAAUUUUAUAAAGAAAAACAUUUUUUGUUUUUUAUAAAAGUGCAAGCAGUUUAAAACUUCAGAGAAUAAAAAUGAGUCCAAUCAUAUUAAUGUUUGAUACAUUAAAGUAAAAAUAUAUGGUAGUGUUGUAAAAGUUUUUUUAAAAAAUAAAAAAUUCAGGAAAACAUAAGCAUUUUAUUUUGUAUUUCAAAUUUCAAUUAUUAGAAUUUUUUUUUUUUUAGAAUAUCUUAAAUGGGUAAAAUCUGACCAGAUAUAUAUUUUAUUUAGUUUUUUCUGAAAGUGCAAGUAAAGAAAAAUUUUAUUUUUUACUUUUUUAUUAUCAAUAAAUAAACCUGCAGUGCUCUGUGAUAAUUACCAUCUUUUCUCUGUUUUUGUCCAGGAACAGCCGCCAUGUUGUUGGCGUUGGCGGCCAUGUUGCUGAGGUCAGACAGUGUUUUAGUUGGCAGAUCCGCAAACCUGAGGAGGUUUGAUGAUCAUUUCCACAUGAAUGCAUCCAUUUGUCACCAUGACUGGAUGCUGCGGUGUGAGAGGCAGCAAAGUGUUUUCCCACAGUGAGGAACACACACACACACACACCCACACACACACACACACACCCACACACACACCCACACACACACACACACACACACACACACACACACACACACCGGGCCUGGUAACUAGCUGGUGAUGAGUGGGCGUGAUGAUGGUGGCUGAUAAACAUCUGAGGCGACGCAGAGAGACGAUAAGGAGACGAAGAUCCCAGAGGAGCUGAGGGGCGUCUCAGUCACUGUGACAGAAAAGUCAGAAGCUGGAGCCUUUUCUCCGGAGGAGAGGCGGAGGUGGGAACCGCGGAGCAGCUAGCAUCACACCGUCUCUCGCUGCCCUCCGCUAAUUGGAACACGCCCCUCCGCUCCUCUGGGGCCUGUUAGCGACCUCCCACUGUCCGGCUCUCUGAUUGGCUGAGAUGCUUAUCAGUCGUUAGCGCCAGUCCAUGUAUUCAUUUCCCAACUCUUCCACUUUCCCCCGUCCUCCGUGACCUCUUCCUCUUUAUUACAGAUUAACGGGAAGAAAAACGGAGGAAAAUCAAAGUUUUACUUUCAGACUGUUUUAAAAUGAUUAAAAACUUUCCUGAUUCCUAAAA